UUUGAAUAUAUAGAUUGUGUCAUCAUUUUACCGACUUACUAAUAUUCUUGUUUUUAUUGUUGUUCUAUAUAUGUUAGGGGUCAUACGUUGACGACAAAAUAUGAAUAUACGUUAAACAAGCAAUUCAUGUAAACACGUUAAAAAGGUUCGUCGGCCAAAAAAAAAAAAAAUGUCGACAGCACUAUAUAUUAUGAAGCACAUAAGUUUUGAAUAUUUUGUCAAUGAUUCGUAUUCUUUGUGUUUCUUCUUGUUGGAGAAGGGAUGCUAAUAAUUAACUAUUAUUCGUAAAGUUUAUGUUUAGAGACAAUAUUUUUCAAAUGAUUCGUUUAUAUAAAUUGACCG
rnacentral:lncRNA from 1 species